rnacentral:rRNA from 1 species
UACAGAGGGUGCAAGCGUUGUUCGGAAUUAUGGGGCGUAAAGCGCGUGUAGGCGGCUUGGCAAGUCAGAUGUGAAAGCCCUCGGCUUAACCGAGGAAGUGCGUCUGAAACUGCUGAGCUUGAGUCUCGGAGAGGAUGGCGGAAUUCCGCAAGUAGAGGUGAAAUUCGUAGAUAUGCGGAGGAACACCGGUGGCGAAGGCGGCCAUCUGGACGAGUACUGACGCUGAGACGCGAAAGCGUGGGGAGCAAACAGG